rnacentral:misc_RNA from 1 species
AUUACAUAUGCUUAUAGUGUUAAUGCUAUAAGAGUGUAGUAUCUACUCACCAAUAUUUCAAGGUAAAUCCCUUCAUCAACUAAUAAAAAUGUUAUUGCAUAACUAAUGUUAUACUGUAGCGCUGCCCUGAUAUCCAGCAAAAAUUAUUUUGCUGAGUAUCGUAAUAAAAGUUAAGAUAUGAUGUUAAGAUUUUUUUAGUCGUGCAACAACUAUUAACAGCAAGCUAUAUACUUCUUAAAA